rnacentral:lncRNA from 1 species
GAGAAAGUGUCAUUCUUUUCCUUGGUGUGGAGAGUAGACUACUGAAUGGCUCUAUCACGGCGAAUUCACCAAUAUCUCAGCGUCUUUCUUCACAGCUGGUGAACUGCUACACAGGAAGCAGAAGAUCGCAUUAUACUUUUUAUUUUAGGGCCACAGGACCUACGGCUAUCGGUGAGGGUGGGAGGUGCACUGGGAUGAAGCCCAGACUCCGAGUCUCCUACGGGGCCAGGGAGCCACUGCGGGAUGUAUUUUAAAGAAAAUUCAUUCCAGAGAGAGCUCCCGGACCUGCCUUCAUUGCGUCCAGUCCUGCCUGGGGAAAUCACGCUCCCGAUGGGUGCAUCAACCUGUUUCCCCACCAACCAUUCCUUUUAAAGGACAAAGGACAUCACUAGACCGAAUGAGAUCAGGCCAAAGGACCCAAAGCAGCCAGCUUCUUCCCUUAACUGCUGCUGCCACUCAGAGACCCAGCUGCAGAGGAAAGAGGGCAGGAUGCCUGGGAGAUGCCACCUGACGGGUCGGGUGGUGGUGAGACUGGGCUGAAUGUAGGUUCACAUCCCUCCCAAUAAGAUGGUGACGCAGGAGCAAAGUGACAUGGUCUGUAGCUCGACUCACGUUAAAUAAAGGACAGGUGAGGUGGCUGCCCAAACCGUCCUGUUUCCAAGAAGCCAACACAAUUGAUUCCUCAUCCCCAAAGGCUUCCCUCUCUGUUGGCUCUUUGAAUUUUAAUAUUGUUAAAGCCUUAAUAAUAGGUAGGCUAAACACCCAUGUAAUGAAUCCCAUUCGUCAUAAACAGCUCCCUGCACCCAAGCAAACAAAGGAGCAAAACUCUCUCGCACACGACCAACCUCCCUAACUCCAACGACCUGCAAGGGAAGCUGAGUUGGAUGAUGCAUUUGCUUUAAAAUAAAAUAAAAUAAAAUGCUGUCAAGAACGUGCAGAAACCCCUCAUUCAGAAAACCAACUUUUACCUACCCAAGUUCUCAGGUGAGCUGCUUAAAGCAAAGGUAAAAACACCUUGAAGGAGGAAUUUCUACAGUGUCCCAGGGUACUUUACACCUGCUUUCUCAUAAAGCAUAGCCAUCUCCAGAUUGUUCUGGAGUCUUCUUUGUUAGUAAACCCUUUCUCCUCAUGAACCUCAAGUCAAGUCCUGAAUCAAAAGGAUCAUAAAUUCCCCCCAAAAUGAACGAAGACUGGGCACCAAAGGCGCCCUGUGGGGGAGCAGUGCUAUGUUGUUCCCGUCGGCCAGCCUUUAAUUUCACUUCUGCUCACAAAAGCAGUGGAAGGACUUCAUAGCAAGAGGUGAGCAUAGGAGAAAGAAAGAAAGAAAGAAAGAGAGAGAGAGAGAGAGAGAGAAGGAAGGAAGGAAGGAAGGAAGGAAGGAAGGAAAGAAAGGAAGGAAAGAAGGAAGAAAAGAAAAAGAAAAAACCAAAGUUGUCCUAUCUACUAAAGUUGUUUGUGUUUCUGUGUGUUUUGCACUGUUUUUGUUUUCCAGGAAAAGGAAAGUUGGCGGGGGGUACUGUUACAGAAUGGGCAGUAAGUAGGUCUUAGGCAGGACCAAAGAGAACUCUGGAGGGCCUCCCUGUUUCCAGGUUCUUCCAGAGACCUCCGAAGUAGGACACAGCCGGCUCCUCCUGUGCCUUCUCUGAGCAGGGCUGCUGGGUCCCCACUGGCUUCAUUGGCGCUCCUGAGCCCUGCUGAGCCUGCACCUGCCCCAGGACCUUGGUACGUGCUUUCCCCUACAAUCCCCUAUGUAGGCAGGUCUCUGUUUGCCGGCAGCUCAUCAGAGAGACUUGUCUCAAUGCUCAUAGCCUCGUCUUUCCAUCCUCUGUCCUCCAAGUGCGGAUUACCUUGACGGCACUGUUCUUUCCCGGAUGUGUCCUGUUUGGCUUGAUACCCCUUUCUCCAACUAGAAUGAAAGCUCUCUGUCUGUGCCUUCCACUAACAGUGAUUGUUGGUCAUAAAACUUCAAAGAAACAGAUAUUUAUAGCUUGAUUAAGGCCCUUGUUUUUUUUCCACACACACACUCACCACAGCACUUUCCAACUCUGUUCCCAUGAGCGUACUGAAAACAGCCUCCUGCCCACUUCCUGUCGAGGCCAGCUCCUUAACCGCCUCAGUCCUGAAGAAGCUCUUUUUUUUUUCCAGCCUUCACGUCUUUCGGUUUCUCUUGGGUUUUCACAGUUGGGUGUUUUCACUCCUUUUCUCAGGCACCCGAGCCCCCAGGUGAGCCGCCCCCACAUGCAGCACGAUGACAGGGCCACGAAGAAAGAACAACCCCAAAGUGGGAAAAUAUUCCUUCUCUAAACAGCCUUCCUGCCGGGAUAAGAGGAAGCCCGACUGGUCACCUGUUCACCCAGGGCUGACGAUGUGAGGGGCUGGAAAGAUCUAGAGAAGCGGGAUCCACUUGAAGAAGUAAUUCCUGUUUUUCUUCGUAAAUAUUGCUACCUUGACUAUUCGUGAUAAUGUAACUUAGGACCAAAGCUUUAUAAACAUUAUUUUCCAAUCAUCGAGAGAAUCUUGUAAGAGGGGUAACUAAUAGCUCUGUGUCUAACACGAGUAAAAAAUCUUAAAAGGGGGGCAGAGAUCUGUCACAUGGCUAGGACCCAGCAGCGCUGCCAGUGUACCCACUACAGGCUGUCUUCCGGAUGAAAAGUGGCACCUGCAUUCUUGGGAGGGGGCGCUAAUAGCAAAUAUGGGGGAAGGUAUGAAUUAUCUAAAACAAAGGACAUGAAUGGGUCCCAAUUCAGGUAAAACAUGAUUGGUUCCAUUCCUAAUAACAGCUAUAGUUGAUGCUCUGAGUUAAUCAUUUGCUCCUCUCAUUAAACAUCAGGAUCCCCACCCCCCACGCCCUUUAAAGUAAGUUCAACAGAAAGCAUCCUUUGGGAAAAAAAGUGAUCGUUAAGUAGGUAUAGCUUUAAAAGAGGUCCGAUUGUGCCCUGGGCUUCCAGUGACACUGUCCUUUGUGGCACGACGGCUGUGAAUUCUCCUGGGAUGCUGGGAGUACACCUGAGGUAGGCUUAGCAGCCCACGGUAGGUACUGAUUGUGACGCUCAAGUCCUGGGCAGUCCUAGAGGUGUGGACCACACGUUUGGGAAGUGAAAGGAGACCCUCUUAGAUGUUUUCAUGAGAAAAAAGGAAACUAAAGUGGUCUCCCCAGGAUCAAGUUAGAAAACCCCUUUUACUUUCACACAGAAACCCCCAGAGAGAGCGCUGCACUGCUUUAUGCUGUCGUUUCUCUCACUCUGCAUAAGGUCGGUGGCCCAGGAAGAACCUGCUCCCAUCUGCGGGGUGAGCCUUUGCAUCACCCACCGAGGCAAAGUGAGGCAGCUCAGGGGCUGCCAAGCACCCCAGAGCCAGACCCACAGGGCUCCUUGCCCCAGUGGGACCCCUGUUUACCAACCAAGUUAGACGAACAGCAACAGUAAUAUGCAAUGAAAACCUCAAAUGUGCAUUUUUGCUACUCAUCUUCGGAGUUCUGCCAAUAAAACUGGAAGACUGGAAAGCAGCCUUACCUUCUUGGAGAAGGGCACUAAUAUUUAUUAUCCACUGCGCGCUGGAAAUUUUCGCAGUCUCAAAGAGAACAAAGUUGGUCAUGUGACUAUUUUGAAGAUUGUGGAGAACUGGCCUCAAUACAGAACGUUCAUUUCUUUUUUUUACUGACACUCUGCUGAUACUUCUGAAUCCCUUCUGACAGCUGGGGAACUGUCAUUAUUAAGUAAUUCAGUGUAGAAGAGAAUAUAUUUUUUGAGAUCCAAACACUUAUUAUCCAGAUGAUAUAACGCUGUAAUCCAAAUUUAAAAAUGAGUUCUAUUUGGAUCACUUUCCCCGACCAAUCCUCGAGUGGAAUCAAGUUACACAGAGAAAGCAACAUUUCCAGCAGAGUUUCUGUUUAGCGAGUGAGGUUUCUAUGUGGUGAAGCCAAAAGGAGAGAAAUGCAUAACCUGAACCCGUGCGCACAGCUGCCCGAGGAGCCGGGAGGCUGAGAAGGUCUUUCCCAAAGCUCAGCAGUGUAGACCGCCCAACGGGAGCCUCCCAGGCCAGGGAAAAGUAUCAUUGACACACCAAGGGUUAAGACCUGACUCAACCCCACUUCACUUCCUUGGCCAUAGGGGUCAGCAUAGGAUGACCCCGCCUGCGGCGGGCUGGUGUGGGUCACUGGGAGGACUGGCGAGACCCAGAGAAUGCGGUUUGGAAAGAGAAGAGAACCAACAUCAUUCUCAAGGUCAGCUGUGGGGGGCGGGGGGGGGGGGGGAAGAGGGCGCACGCGCACGCGCAUGCGUCCCGCUUUGGUUCUUCGACUGUACGUUCAGACCUGUUCGUAGAUCAGUAUACGAGCAAAUCCACAGACGGAUGAGCAAGGGAAGCAUGUCUGAUUUUAUGUCACUUACCCUACACCCCUUUAUUCUUGAUAGAAAAGGCAGCAAUCCCAACUCAUGGGACGACUGGGAGGAUAAAAAAGAUCGUGUUUACAAACUGUUUAAUAUAAGCUGAUGGCACUCUUUCUUUCAGGCAUUUUUUUUCAUUAUAGCCGAUUUACAAUGUGGUGCCCAUUGCUGCUCUACGGCAAAGUGACGCAGUCACACAUCUAUGUACAUUCCCUUUCUUAUAUUAUCUUCCCUCGUGAUCUAGCCCAAGAGACUGGAUACGGUUCCCUGGGCUGCAGAGCAGGAUCUCGUCGAGGAAUUAUUUUAUUUUUAUGACUUUUUAUUAUUAUUACUUUUUAAAUUUUUUAUUUAAACAAGUUUUUUUUAUUAUAGAUUUGCAAUGUUCUGUCCAUUUCUGCUGUACAGCAAAGUGACC